CCGUGACAUUUUUUGGUUUUCCCUGACUUACAAUUUAAAAAAACUGACAAACCUUGAAAAAACCCUGAAACCUUUUAAAAAACUUUGAUUUGACUUUAAAAUUUCCCGACAUUUCCUGGUUUUCUAUAGGUAUUCCCUGACUGUGGCAACCCUGAUGCGAGACCUCCAUUUUGGACCUCCAGACACAGCUAAAGAAUCCAUAUUUUCACCAACAAGUCUUGGCCAGAGCCCUUGUUCCAUCUCUCCAGCGCAGGAUUCGAACUUAUGGGAUUCGAUACUGGAAGUUGCAAAUUGCUUUGCUCACCCGGGAAGAAAAUCUGAGGUCUUGCUCGUACUUAAAGGCGAACUCUUGCGAAGAGCUCAAGAGAUACAGCUCGGUAAAUCAAGGCGAACUGCUGCGGAUGGGACGCUGCUUCUGGUCAACGAAAGUGGGAGCGUGCACUCACUACGCCCGCCUAGGAUAUAAUCGGUCGGUAAUAAAAUUCGUCAAUUUUUAAUCAUCCGAAUAAUUUGAGCCUCUCCGAUGUUUAUUGGCAUCUUUAUGCUGAACGCAGGAUUCUUCAGUGAAAAAAAAACUCCGGCCGUGGAAGCCGUGCUUACGGGCUAUAUAGACAUAGAUAUACCGUCCGGGUUCCGGGCUCACAGGUCGAAAGUUCCAAGCGUAGCACCCGGAGCAAUCUAAACUACGGCUCCAGCACCCGGAACUUCCAGCCUCUGAGCCUGGAGCGGACUAGAGUGCCUAUACAUAAUGUGGGAGAGUAUUGCCUUCUCUGUGCCGUUCUCUGAUUGGGUUAUCAUUUUCAGGCUAUCAUGGAGCUCAAAAGUUGGCUCAAUGUAAACAUACCCGACCCAAAGGAACACGUAUCGGCUGAGAAAUGAAUGCUAAUCACACUCAAAGAUACAUUUUCGGUAAAAACAUCCAUCAAAGUUCGAUCCAAACAUUUCAGAAGUUGGAUAUAAAAUAAUUUCUAUCUCAGCCAAAAUCACGUCAAGAACUUUGUAGAACCUGUUGCAGUCUUGUUUCUUUACACUGGGCCAAACUAGAAGCGGAGAGGCUGGGGUUUGUUUGCAUUGGGCCAACUUGGGGGCUCCAUGAUAGCCGACCAAUCAGAGCGUGGCACACUUUUUCUGUAGUGAAAGGAUUGAGAUAGCAAUACUCCGGCAAGUCUAUAUAGCCCGAACCUUUGUUCAGUGUUUCAAUAAUGAUAAUCACACUCAAAGAUUAAUUUUCGGUAAAAAUAUCCAUCAAAGUUCGAUCCAAACAAUUCAGAAGUUGGAUAUAAAAAAAUUUCUAUCACAUCCAAAAUCACGUCAAGAACUUUGUAGAACCUGUCGCCAUCUUGUUUGUUCACACUGGGCCAAACUAGGAGCGGAGGGGUCGGGGUUAGUUUAAAUUAGGUCAACUUUGGGGCCCCAUGAUAGCCGACCAAUCAGAGAGCGGCACACUUUUUCUGUAGUGAAAGGAUUGAGUUAACAAUACUCCGGCCCGUAACUUUUUUCAGUAUUU
rnacentral:lncRNA from 1 species